CAUCACGCGAGCUCGACACCAACAUCUAAAAACCUAAUUUAUCUUAUUCUGAAAAAAGAACAACAGGAAGGUGGGAUAUGACAUUUUUAGUUUAAACAUUUGAUCACACUCCUCGUGUUAAAAAAUAAAUAAAUUUCCUGAGUAAAUCAAAGAAAAGUACUAAAUAAAAUGUUCAAGCAUCACCAACCGUUCCUAGCAAAAGUGGUAAAGGACUUGAUGGUUGGUAACCAUAGUUUCAAGUUCGAAGUUCAGAUGCUUCAUAUUUUCAAAUAAGUUUAUUUCUAAAAAAAAAAAAAGAAAAACGAAACAAAUAGUAGAAUUGAGCUCUUAUGCUUUUAAGUCAUUGGUGCUUGUAGGUUUUCAUGUCUUAGAUUAAGGGAUAUGUAAUUACGAUCAUAGUGGUCCCCUAGGGUUGAGUGAGUGAUUGGUUGAAUAGCAUGAUCUAACAGGUGAAAAUAAUUAAUGGAGUAAAUCUAACAGCGAAAAAUUACAACUUGUACAAUAGCCAGGCUCCGGAUAGUAUGCUAUUUUUCUUUCAAAAAAAAUUUAUAGCAUCUAA
rnacentral:lncRNA from 1 species